CUCAUUAUCUCUAAUGCGGUCACGCCCACACGCUGUUGACAUGGUAAUGAAGAGACGAGCUGUUCAAACCAGCAGAGCAAAGCGUAAUGUUUGAUAAGAUUUAAAGACUUUAGCGCAUGUUUGGAUUAUAAACUUUAUACACACACGUGAGGAAUAUCUUCAUUUAUGUCUGGACAUUGAGGAAGAGAAGCGUUUAUCUUUAACGUUACCUAAGAAGAAGAACAAUGGAAGACGCAAUGGAGGCGGAUAUAUUCCUGAAGAAACUGUCUGCAUCCCUCUCAUCAGUAAACUAUGAAGUGGAAAAACAUAUUCACACUCUUUGGACAUAAAGUUGUAUGGUAACAUGAGCCACAUGAAGUUUACAGCUCUGUUGUUUAUCAGUUUCUUAUACAAGUUAAGUUUUUGAAUAGGGUCCUACUGACCUUCAUUUCUAUUUUGAUUAUAUUGUUAACUUCUUAAUAAACCUCAAACAAACAUG